AUCUUAGUAUAUUUUGGUUAAUAUAUUGGAAGAAUUUUGAUACUUUGAAUUGUAUUUUCAAUAUAGGACUUUCGACUUCCUCUGGAGCAAAACAGGACCAAAUGGACGAAUUUUGGAGUAAUUCCAAUUGGAGGACGUUCGUGAGUCAAUUAGCUUGAUCGUAUCAAAAUUUGGGAUUUUUCCACCAAGCAGUUAUUUUCUGGCGAUGAAAUAAAGAAGCAGUGCGCAGUGCUGGAAAGUGACGUUUUUGGGCUUAAAUGACGUUUUUGGAGCCCAAGAUGACCUCGGAUGGGUUCGUGGCCUUCUGGAAAAGUGUUCAGAAUAUUCCAAACAUCAAAUCCAGCUAUAUUGGGCCAGUUUUGGAGCAGCUUUUGGGCCAAAACGUGGCUGUUCAGAUUUUAGACGAAUUUUACUAUUUUUAUUUAGGGUUUUUAUUAAUUUUAGUUGGCUAGGGUUUUUGUGGUGGCUUAGCAAAUAUAUUGCUGAGCCGUCUACAGUUUUAUGGUACGUUUUAUUUUAUGCAAUAUUGGAGACAGGGAGAAGUGCUAGGGUUUUGAAGAUUUUCUACUUGAAGGUGUUUUCAAUCCUUUUCUUAAUAAUAUUUUCUAUGAUUUCACUUAUGAAUAUGCGGAACUAAUUUCUUUUGCUAGGGCGAAACCUUGAGCCUUAGCAUGAAUAUGUGAUUUUUAUUUAAUUGCUUAUGAUCGAUUGCAUGCGUACUUUGAAUUGUUAAUCACCGAGAGAUAAAAACUAUCUAAUUGUCGUAAUGCAUGAUCACCAUUAGGAUCUUUAGAAAAGUAAUUUGAUGCAAUUUUGGUCGGAAGGUUCCCUGAAAUUGACGCUGGCUUCUUGUGAUUAAUAAUUGUAAUUUCGCUUAGGAUGAAUAUCACGUCUUAAGGAUUGCAUGGUUUUUCAAAGGAUUUUCAUAAAGCAUAAUGAGUCUUUCAUGUUCAUAUUUGAUCCGAACGUCCGGACGGGUUGCAUGUUAGAUAUACAUUCUAUGUUUGAGGUUCCAAGUAGAAUAUGAAUUAGGAAAAUCUAACCUUCAAAAUGGCAUGUGUAGAUCAUAAGUAAUUGGUAAAAAUUCAUAGGAUUGCUAGGUGAUGGUGGAACCCUAGUGCUUUCUUAAUUUGAUUUUCUCAAAACUGUUUUUUUCUCUCUAGCUCUAAUAUUGCAGAUUGUUUAUUUUAAUUCAUUAAUUUCGUUUUUAUUUUAAUUAGGUUUUAAAAUCAAUCACUUCAAUUUCUACUUUACAAUCAUUAAUUGGAAUCUGAUUUGUUUCGAAUUAUUUAAUAAUCCCUGUGGAGAAUGACCUUGCGAGAUCCGUUUAUACUACAAUAACCUUGUGAUUCUUGCAAGUAAAAUAGGAGGUUUUUAUCGCAUUCACAUAAGCAGAAAAAAUCUUAUCAAGAAAAUGGCGCCGUUGCCGGGGAUUAUUUAAAAUAAUCCCUACGAAUCAGAUUUUCAAUUAGUAUUGCUGUUUAUACAUAUAUAAAAAAAAAAACAAAAAAAAUAUUUAAUUUUCGUUUUCAUCUAUUUUUACAGAUUACAACAGUACAGAUUUCAGAAAUCUGUGCAUGGUCAGCACCCGUUCAACAGUGCAAAAAUUGAUUCCAUUUGAUCCAGAAUUUGAACAGCAUUUAAGGAGGAAACGCAGGGAACAACAUUUGCAGCGGGUUCGUCCUCUGCAGGAGAGGUUUCUGGAAUCAGUCUUUUCUGGGGACCUGCACAACAAAGAAAAAAUGGCGUUUAUAAUUCCAGAGGCAGGUCUGCCCCUGGGUGAUUCACUGACUGCCCAUACCACAAAUAUACCCAGUUGCAUCACAUAUCCGGCAGUGGAGGAAGGGACUGCAUUUGAAAUAAAACAGCACAUGUUGAAUAUUCUACCUACGUUUCAUGGGUUGUCAUCUGAUGAUCCUAACAUGCACAUUGCAGAAUUUUUAAUGGGGUGCAAAAACAUUUUGGUGAGAGGAUUUUCAGCUGAAUCUAUUAAGCUGCGGUUAUUUCCAUACACUCUAAAAGAUCAGGCAAGGAGAUGGCUCCUCACACUCCCAUCAGGAAGCAUUACAACUUGGGCCCAACUCAGUGAAAAAUUUCUAAACAAGUAUUAUCCGGCUUCUAAGACCCUUGACAUGAGAACUCAGAUUUUAUCGUUCGCCCAAAAACCAAAUGAAGAGUUUCAUGAGGCGUGGGAGCGAUUUAAGGAGUUGAUUAGAAAAUGUCCGCAUUCGGGUAUUAACACUACUGAUCAAAUGCACAUAUUUUUCAGAGGGUUGAAUAUGACAACAAAAACUCUUGUCAACGCUUCAUGCGGAGGUACGUACAAAGACAAAAAUGCACAAGAAGCUUGUUUGUUAUUUGAAAAAAUGGCAGAAGAUACUCAGCAGUGGGCAGUGGAGCAGCCACAAUCUAGGUCAGCUUUUGAGAUGUCUACUGGUUCUCCAUAUGUUACAGCACAAAUUGAAAAAAUGGAGAAAAGGCUUGACGCAAAAUUUGACAUGUUAUUACAAAGAAUGCCAGGUUCUCAAGUUGCUGUACAGCAGCCCUUACAAGCUGCCUGCAGUAUUUGCAACAUGAUAACUCACGAUUUUAUGAGCUGCCCACAUAAAGAUGUUUCACCAGAUUUUACAGCAGAGCAGGUUAAUUCAUUUAACAAUUUCCAGCGGCCCAGAUAUGACCCAUAUUCUAAUUUCUACAACCCCGGAUGGAGAGAUCAUCCUAAUCUAAGGUGGGACAAGGAACAGCACACUAGGCCUCAAUUUCAACAGCAGGUACAGUAACCUGCUGCACCUAAGGCUGCUUGGGAAGUUGCAAUUGAAAAAUUGGCAAAUACUACCACUCAAGAAAUUCAAAAUCUACAUGCAGCAGUGAAAAACAUCGAAAAACAGAUGGGGCAGAUUGCUUUACAGGUUUCAGAAAGAGCUCCGGGUACAUUUCCUAGUCAAACAGUACCUAAUCCAAGAGGACGAGAAGAAUGCAAUGCUAUACGGACUCUACGGUCUGGCAAAAGUUACAACAACAAACAUGAAAAUUCUGUUGGGAAUUCACAGGCAGCAGAACUAUCCCAAACUAAAUCUGCAAUUAUUGCAGAUUCUGAAAUUUCUGCAAAUUCUGGGCAGUCCCAAGACAGAUCCGAAAAUACUGCAGAAGCUUCCACAAAAACUGCAGAACGUGUUUACGAACCCCCUAUGCCGUAUCCAGAAAGGUUGAGACCUAAAGCUAAAGAUCAACAGUUAACAGAUUUUAUGAAAACUUUGGCUAAAGUUCAAAUUAAUCUGCCGUUAAUUGAUGCCAUCAAGAACAUUCCAUCUUAUGCCAAGUUUUUUAAGGAUGUUUGCACAAAGAAAAAGAAGCUUGUUGAUUUUGAGAAAGUGAUUCUUACAGAACAAUGCAGUGCGGUCUUAUUACAUAAAUUGCCUCCAAAGAAAAAAGAUCCAGGGAGUUUUACUAUCUCUUGCACCAUUGGAAAUUGUGAUUUUAGUAGUGCUUUAAUUGAUUUAGGUGCUAGUGUAAACUUAAUGCCAUAUUCUGUUUUCAAACGUUUAGGUGAAGGGGAGCUGAAGCCAACCUCCAGUAUUAUUCAAUUGGCUGACCGUUCAAUUACCUACCCUAGAGGAGUCAUUGAAGAUGUUAUUGUGAAGGUUGACAAUUUAUAUUUACCAGCUGAUUUUAUGGUGUUGGACAUGGAUGAGGAUUUGACAACGCCCAUUAUUUUGGGCCGCCCAUUUCUGGCAACAGCCCGAACUCUUAUUGACGUUGAAGCCGGAACAUUAACAUUCCGAGUUGAAAAUCAAACUGUUGUUUUCAAGUUGUUUGAAGCAAGCAUACAUUCAGGUGACAAGCAAGAAUGCAUGCGUGUUGAUGCAUUGGAUGGUUUACCAAGUGCCAAGUUUAUGAACAGAUCAUCAACUGACCAUCUGUCCAUAAAGCCCCCGAAUUUAACUCCUGAUUUUACAAGUCCUAAACCACAGCAGCAAAGGGUGCUACAUGAAGACCAGCCAAUGAACACAUUGAAAAAACAUGAAAAUUUGCCAAGCAGCCCAAAUUUUAAGAAAAUACAGCCUGGUAAAGAAGUGUGGUUAUUAAGUUCAGAUUUCAAGUCAUUUCCAGGGAAACAAGAGUCUAGAUGGAAAGGCCAUUUUCUGGUUACUAAAGUUUUUCAGAAUGGUAAUGUGGACAUUAAGGCUAAGGGCACAGAUUUCUCAUUGAAAGUGACCAAACAUCAACUAAAACCAUGCAUAGAGAAAUUUGGUGUAGGCAAGUCUUUGACUCUAAAGGCACCAAUGAUCUAGCCACCGGACUUCGGCAACGUCUAGCUACAGACUUAAAAUAAAGCGCUUAUUGGGAGGCAACCCAAUUUUUCUAAACUCUUUCUUAAUUUUAAUUUUCGUUUGAUUUUCUCUUUAAUAUAAAAAAAUAAAAAAUAAAAACUAAAAAAAACAAAACAAAAAAAUAAUAAAAAAAAAAAAAAACAAAAUUUGAAAAAAAUGGAAGAUUGCAUAUUGAUUUUAUUUAUCCAGUUUAUUUGAUUUUAUUUUAAUUUUUUGACGCAUAUUGGUUAAUUGCAGGUUGCGAACGUGGAAAAUAAAGCGCGUCCUAUGCUGGAAUCCUGCACCCAGCAGCAAGCCUAACGUUCACAUCAACCACAUCUACACUAUGCUGGAAAUUUACAGUAGUCCACAUAAAAAGCCAUUCACAGAUGCAAGUUUGGGGGUGAUUGUUGCAGAUCCAGCACAUAAACAGAAUUUAGAGCAGUUAAUUUCUGCAGCUCAGUUUUGCGAUGCAUGGAGGAAGCACAAUUAAAUCACAGAUCCAUACACCACAGAACUGAGUACAUAUAUUAUUACCAGAUCUACAACAACUACACUUGCAGGGAUUCGAAUUUUACCUCCCAGAUGCAUCGAUCUGGGUCAUGCGGCCUGUGCUGUUUUCCUCCGUUGCUCUUGUGUGUUUACUUCUGUGUCCUUGGCUCUAUCAUGGAUCCGUAUACCCCUACAUAAAGACCCAACAAUAUGAGUACAUACAGGUUUACAUAUGGCAUUCAAAUGAACUGUUGUUGAACUUGUAAAUGUUGAGCUUAGCAAAAGCAGACGAACGAGAUCUGUACCUAUAUGACAUACAGAGGCCGCGACAGUUGCUGUUGAUUUUGCUUCAGGAACCACUAGACCGGAAGCUCAUAGUUGUUGUCUCUCGGUUGUACGCUGGAGUUGAGGGAAAAGUUUUCAGUCACAGUAGUGGUUUUAUUAUUCAACUCUCAGAUCAUCAUUCAUCAAUAAAAAGGGUUACGGGUUUUACCUCAACAUUUGCAGAUCCUUGGUUGAGCUGAGCUGACUCCGGGUGUGUUCUUGUGUUGUUGUAUUGGAUUUGAAACCAUUAGGGCUCUUCCCACUGAUAAACCACAUGCAGGUGUUAGUGUUUGUUCCAGAUCUCUCUAACAAAUAAAUUGGACACUGCAACCACAAGAUUGGAGGAUGAUUUUACCUUUGGGUUUCCGUUUUUCCGAUUUUCCACCACGGCGGGGUACUCACGGCGGUGUGUUGUUGUUGGGUUAUGGACGGCUACGGAUGCAUCAAUCUGCGAGGAAACUGAGACAUACACAGAACAGUCAAAUGCAUCAGUCACAAACAUUUUCAUUUUACUCUUGGUGAUGAAGUUAGCAGAAAUGGAGCUACAUCUUUACAUUUGAACGAACAAAAGGAGAAAUGGCAUGGCUUCGUUUUUACCUGCAAAGGGGGGAUUUUUGGACGAACUGUUUUAGUUCUGCUCGUUUGGGUCUCCGUAUUGCGGACCAGAGCCCUAUUAUAGAGGAAUCAGACAUGCCUGUGUCGCUCCACCAUGGAUGGGGUUUGAGAGCAAAUCGAGAGAAAUGCGAAAAAAAAAAUAAAUGGAAGGGAUAAGGUUUUUGCAUUUUUUUUUGAGUAAUGAAGGAGAGAGAGCAGAGAUAUGGGGAAAUGAGAGAAGAAAAUAGAGAGAUAAAAAACCUUUUCAGAUUUUCUAGAGAGAGGACGAUGGGCAUCUUGGAUUGAUCUUCACCCUUACUUUGGAAUCCUAUGGAGCUCCCUGCCGUGAUGCUUGCCACGUGUCAAAGCUGGUGUAUUCCCAGGUCUAUUCAUGGGACUCGGUUUGCAUUAAAGAAAAAGAAGAGCCGUUCGGCUCGGGACCCAAUAUUUGCCGGAUUUUUUUUUUUUUUUUUUUUUUUUUUGAAAGGCAUGCAGGCUUUGGUCAUAUCUCCAUCAAGUGGGCACUGUUAUCUGAUAAGUUUAUUUUAAAAAAAAAUAAAAUAAAAUAUUUUGCACGCCAGCUGCCCACCACUUGUCACACGGCAUGCCAAUUGCAUGCCAUUCCAAGAAGCGAAUCCAAUGCUUUUCCACAACUAGUGCUAGGAGUUGGUGCACAUGUGCCGUGCACAUGGCCUUGGUUGUGGGCCGGUUCUCCAUGAAUGGGUUAGAGGCGUUUUGUCCAGCCACUUCAUUGUCCAGCCAGGUACUAUCUUUCUUUGUUUUAGUUUUGUUAAUCAUUUUCACUUUUAUAAUUAUUAUAUUUUAGUUUAAGUUUAUUUCAUUUUUAUCAUAUUUCUUUUAUUUUCUACACCUUGAGGACAAAGUGUGAAAUAAGUUUGGGGGUGGGAAAGUAAAUUUUAGUUUUUUUUAUUUUUAUUGUGUCCGUUUAAAAAUUUUCAUUCUUGUUAAGUUAAUAUCCAUAGAUUAUUUUAAACAUUGGAACAAAUGGACAUGGUGAAAGUUAAUCCCACAUUAGAGUCUUUUCUAUUUAUCGUUGCUUAGACACUAAUUCAUGAAUUAUACUUUGAACUUUGCACAUCACACCAACAUGGUUUGUGGGGAGUGAGAUUGAAAUACUUGCUUUUAGUCUAAGUUUAUUUUUAUUUUUUAUUUUUUAUUUUAAGUAAAGUCAGUUAUUAGUGUGAAAAAAAAAAUUAAAUAAAUAAAUAAAGUAAUAAUUGUCUCACCCGAGGUUCUGCCUAGUAACCGGGCCAGUCCUGCCUAAUCAGCAGUGAUUCUCGCGUCAAACGGUAGAGUUUUGGCAUGAGGCAGGGUGGUUAGUUGGUUUCGUAGCCUUUUCAGCUCGGGUUAAUAAGUCCUUAGGGGUGUUCUACACCUAGUGUCCUAAAGCCCUAGUGGUUUGGGAGUCAUUGACCUAAAGCUCGCUACAUGGGUUGGAUCGAAAGCUUAAGUAAACCGACAUUGCACGACCACUACUGUUACUGGAAAAAAAAAAUGUUAUAUAUGAAAAAAAAAAAAGUGAAAAAGAAAAAAAAAGAAAAAGAAAGAGAGUUAUAUUUUAAAGUUACUAUGUGUGAAAUAAAUAAGGACGAGAGGUAAGGGUUUUAGUCGAGUCUCCUUAAUUAUGUUGGUUCACUUUACACCAAAGGAAGUUUGUGAAUUCUUUUCUAAUUGAUUCUAAAUGGCUUAGACUCUGUGGUGGGAUUGGUUGGAACUUUUGAAAAAGAUGUUCUAGUUUUUUAAAAUUUGCUAUGGAUUGCAACUUUGAAGGUGAAAAUUUUUGUCAGUUAAUUUUAGCUAGUUAGUUUGUUAAGUUUUUAUUUUUGUUUGAGUCUUGUUUUGCUUGAGGACAAGCAAAAAGCUAAGUUUGGGGGUAUUUGAUGAGUAGAUUUUAUAUUAUAUAUUUGACCCUAAUCUUAGUAUAUUUUGGUUAAUAUAUUGGAAGAAUUUUGAUACUUUGAAUUGUAUUUUCAAUAUAUAGGACUUUCGACUUCCUCUGGAGAAAAAACAGGACCAAAUGGACGAAUUUUGGAGUAAUUCCAAUUGGAGGACGUUCGUGAGUCAAUUAGCUUGAUCGUAUCAAAAUUUGGGAUUUUUCCACCAAGCAGUUAUUUUCUGGCGAUGAAAUAAAGAAGCAGUGCGCAGUGCUGGAAAGUGACGUUUUUAGGCUUAAAUGACGUUUUUGGAGCCCAAGAUGACCUCGGAUGGGUUCGUGGCCUUCUGGAAAAGUGUUCAGAAUAUUCCAAACAUCAAAUCCAGCUAUAUUGGGCCAGUUUUGGAGCAGCUUUUGGGCCAAAACGUGGCUGUUCAGAUUUUAGACGAAUUUUACUAUUUUUAUUUAGGGUUUUUAUUAAUUUUAGUUGGCUAGGGUUUUUGUGGUGGCUUAGCAAAUAUAUUGCUGAGCCGUCUACAGUUUAUGGUACGUUUUAUUUUAUGCAAUAUUGGAGACAGGGAGAAGUGCUAGGGUUUUGAAGAUUUUCUACUUGAAGGUGUUUUCAAUCCUUUUCUUAA
rnacentral:lncRNA from 1 species